UGUUGUCACAGGCAGAGGGAGGGACCAGCAGGGACUGGGCCUGAGAGCAGUGACAGAGGCCCAGGCAGGGCAGGUGUGGGCAGAGCUGGUGUGCAGGCACAGAGGAGCUGGAGAGAGGCCACUGAGAGCGGGCCUGGCCAUGUGGAGUGCCCUGUGCGUGGGCUUCUUGCCCAUUGUAGCAGUCACUGGCCAGCUGACCUUGGAGCAGCACCCCAGGGAAGUGACCGUGCGAGAGGGACAUGAAUUCACCUUCCACUGCAGCAUGAAGGGAGGUGAUAUGAACUACUACAACAUGUACUGGUACCGUCAGGGCCUACGGGGCAUGGAAUGGAUUUCCAGGGAAAAUUCUGUCUAUGGAGAAGUUUUCCAAGAUCGCUUUAAGGGAAGGAAGGACGGCUCCCAGAACAGCUAUACACUGCAGAUCCUGGCAGCAGAGCGAGGUGAUACAGCAACGUAUUACUGUGGAUCGUGGAGCACCCUGAAGCAGCUCUGCAGCAGACUGAACCAAAAUCCACCAGCUGGGCAAGACAGAUCUCUCAGCAUUUCUUUCUGGCAGCUGCUCCCCAGGGCUCCUGUCAGGCAAUGGCAGGUGCAGGAAACGUCCCUCUGGCUGGGUGACACUAAAAGGCACUGCAGGGAGGGCUGCUGGAAGUGCUGGUGCCAUUGAUGGUGCAGGAGGAUCUGUCCUGAGAACUGCAGAGGCUGCAGUUUGGGGAAGUGCAGGUUUGGUGCACGUUGCCUGGUCUCCUGUCCAGCACAGCCUCAUUUCUCCUCAGUGCCUUGGCUGCAGAGCCAUGGGAUGAUGUGGAUGUGUUGCUGGAACUUCCAGAGAGCUGUGGUGGGUCCAGCCAGGCUGUUUAGGAAAGCCAGAUCAGCAGGGAUGACAUUGCUCUAAAGGGUGGCUGCUACAGAGCUCCUGAUCCGGAAGAAGGAUUUGAGAAUCUGUGGUGAGUUGACUUUGGUUGUCCUUCAGGGGCUCAGCAAGCUGCUGUUUCAGUGCCCCUGCUCCUCAAUUAGACAGGGGUAAAAUAAUGGAAUUAAGGCCUCUGGUUUGAGAUAAGGACAUGUCGCAGAAGUGCUACCAUGGGCCAAUACGUGGACUUGGAUAAAUGAAUUUUGUUUUUUGAAAAUCAUAUCAGAGUAGGAUAAUGAGAAAAAAAGGACACAUCUAAAAACAUUCAUCUACCCAAUCAUUGCACAGCAAUGGGGAAUGCAACCAUCGGUUCAUAACCCAUUUUCUCUGCCACUUCUUCCUUCUCAUGCCCUUCUCCUUCUCCAGAGUGUGGACUCCAUGCUAGAGGAGACAUUUCUCCAGGAAUUUUUCAACUUUGUUUCUUUGCAUUGACUGCAGCUCUUCACAACCUCCUCCAGUGUGGGUCUGUAGUUUGCCAUGCCAUCCUUCAGGAACAGACUGCUUCAGGGUGGAUCCCUGCAGGUUCUCCCAGAGAAGCUGCUAUGACAUGGGCUACUUCUUCCAUGACACGACAGUUCCUGUCAGAAACAGGCUCCAACCUGAGCUCUGCAUGGAGUCUCAGACCUGCUCAGGACAUGUCUCGUUGCUUCUGUGUGGGAAACUCUUUGGGCUGUAGGGCCAAUAUCUGCUCCACUAUCACUUGUCAUCACCUGCACCAUCCUGGUCUUCACCGUGCACAUCAAGGGGAGUCUCUGCUCUGGCAUCUAGAGCACCUCCCAGCCCCCUACCUCAUGGACACUCAGCACAGAUUUGGGAAGUGGGAACCUUGCUUAGCCACGUUUACAGCAUCCUACAGUGAGGCAAAGAGCCUUGGUGGGUGAGAAGAAGGUGGAUGUUGUGUAUUCUGCAUUGAGUUGUGCUCACAGCAGUGACUCCUCUGAAACUUUGUGGACAAAAUCCAUUCUUAUGGAAUAGAAAACAGCACAGUUAUAGGUUUCGUUCAGGAAUAGAUAUUGUGUUCUCCAUCCUCUCCCCCUGAUCUCUGGGAACUGAAAUUGCUGAAGGCUGAUGUGGCUGCUGAAGCCUGAGGUGAAUAAAGCAUUCAGGACCUCA